UGGACCAAUGAAGACAAUUUGUCUACAAGCCAAACAUUAUGAUUAAAACAAUUCUGUGCAACUGAGAUUCAUU
rnacentral:snoRNA from 1 species